GCCAGCAGCCAUAUCACUCUGCAACACACUUCUGGCAACCCCCUCAAGCUAAGCAAGUAUGAGCCUGUUCUGUACCUGGAUGGGAGACUUCCUGGGAAAAACUAAGGUUGCUGCUGGAA
rnacentral:rRNA from 1 species